GCAGAGCAGUGCUCAAGGAAUGUUUACAGCUAAGGAGGCUCCAUGGAGGAUUGCUUGAAGGACAUGAAGUCCAUCUGUCUCCCUAGAUAGUUUAGAUUAUAUCUCAAGGUCAAGAAAGAUCAGACAUACGCCCCGAUUCUGUUUCUGUGGCUCUCCAGUCCCCACCACAAGGAGAGAGAGAGAGAGUUUCCUUGGGGACUCAGAAGUGACUUCUAUACUCCGGGAGGCUCUUGGGUAAGUAACUGCAGAGCCCUCUGAAUGGCUUUAUGAGUGCCUUGCUUUUAGAAGAUUGCAGGAAAAAAGUGUCCAAUCCAUAGUCACUGUUCAAUAAACAUUUACUAAAUCUUG